rnacentral:rRNA from 1 species
UACGGGAGGCAGCAGUGGGGAAUAUUGGACAAUGGGCGCAAGCCUGAUCCAGCCAUACCGCGUGGGUGAAGAAGGCCUUCGGGUUGUAAAGCCCUUUUGUUGGGAAAGAAAUCCAGCCGGCUAAUACCUGGUUGGGAUGACGGUACCCAAAGAAUAAGCACCGGCUAACUUCGUGCCAGC